GGAGACAGUUAUGGGCGUGGCUAGAGCUGGAUGGAGGUUGAUUGACACUCCCCAACCCCCCACCUCCGAUCUCCAAGCGGAGUUUGUCGGCAGCAACAGGCACGGUCUCCAGAAGAAGGUGUGUGCAACCAUACCUUUAAUCCCAGAUGACCUUGAACUCAGAGAUCUCCUUAUCUUAAUCUUCUGGAAUUCAUAGCCACUAUACCUCAAGAUCUCCAUGCCAAGAUCCAGGUCAGAAACUUGUAUCUCCCAGCCUCCAGAUUAGGAUCACAGGUUUCUGUUGCUGAGAUGAAACGCCAUGACCAAGAAGCAAGUUGAGGAGGAAAGGGUUUAUUCAGCUUACACUUCCAUACUGCUGUUCAUCACCAAAAGAGGUCAGGACUGGAGCUCCACCCAGGGCAGGAACCUGGAGGCAGGAGCUGAUGCAGAGGCCAUGGAGGGGCAUUGUUGACUGGCUUGCUCUUCAAGGGCACCAACUGUUCUGAUCUCUUGAAGAGCUCCUCAGGCAACCUUCUGUUUCUAGCAAGAUGAUACACCCAAGCCUUGAUGACAAGGCUUGGCUCUCAACCUCCUUGCUCCCCACCUCCUGUGAAAUACACAAAGAAAUUCAGUGAUCAUCGGGGAUGCUCUGGUCCAAACACUACCUGCCAGCCAGACGCAGGAGAUGGAUGGCUCAGCAGUAAUCGUGCUGCUUGAGCUUGGUGUCUAAUGGGGACAGUAGUGACAGGAAGUUCACAGGGACUGGAAGACAUGAGUUCUCUGAGGGAAAGGAAGGUGAAGCCUGGUGCUUAGGACCCUCAGGAGACCAUAGGAUGUGAGAAGGCUCAAGACACCCAGAGGUGGGGUCAGAAACAGGGCAAAGGAGACCAAGCAUGGGAGAGCUGCAGUGGACGUGUACAGACAGGAGAAGCAGGCCCUAAAGAAUCCCUGAGGCGGCAGAGAGGCUGGGCUGUGGAACUUUUUAAUUACUUUGCAUUAGGGGACUGUAGAGACCCAGAAGCCCACCCUUCCCCUCCCCUCAUCAGCUUAGCCCCAACAUAUGGUGGCUACCAAAGUAGUUAAAUCGGCUCUUGGUAGAAAAGGAAAGAGAUUCCUCCCAGGCUCUUCCCAGGGUCCACGGCCACACUCCAGGAGGGCUCAACUCCAGGGCAAGGCAGCUGGGACAGCAGGCAGCUGAAGGAGGACUAUUACUGCACCUUAGGGAAGAGUGCAGUGGCGAGUGGGGAGGACUCUGCUGGGACCCGGGGGUCAUGUGCAUUCCCAUUUAGUUGAGCUCUGCUUAAUCCGGGCCUAGGCUCACAGUAAUGGGGAACGAGGAGAGGCUCCCAUCAGAGACCAAGAAGAUGACAGACUCUCUGUAAAGGCUGUCAGAGGGGUCUGCAUGACCAACCACACCUGCUCCUGUUCCUUUGGGGCUCUUGUGACCUCCCUGUCUUCUUGUGAGAUCUUAUGUUCCUCCAACCCUGAGAGCUACAAACCAAUCUCCGGAAUAAAAAAAUCUGUCCCUCGUGCUGU
rnacentral:lncRNA from 1 species